rfam:TPA: Bos taurus chromosome 5, whole genome shotgun sequence.
UCCCUGGAAGUCCAGUGGUUAGGACUCAGUGCUUUCACUGCCGUGGGCCUGGGUUCAAUCCCUGGCCAGGGAA